rnacentral:rRNA from 1 species
AGUGAACGCUGGCGGUAGGCCUAACACAUGCGAGUCGAACGGCAGCACAGUAAGAGCUUGCUCUUACGGGUGGCGAGUGGCGGACGGGUGAGGAAUACAUCGGAAUCUACUUUUUCGUGGGGGAUAACGUAGGGAAACUUACGCUAAUACCGCAUACGACCUACGGGUGAAAGCAGGGGAUCUUCGGACCUUGCGCGAUUGAAUGAGCCGAUGUCGGAUUUGCUAGUUGGCGGGGUAAAGGCCCACCAAGGCGACGAUCCGUAGCUGGUCUGAGAGGAUGAUCAGCCACACUGGAACUGAGACACGGUCCAGACUCCUACGGGAGGCAGCAGUGGGGAAUAUUGGACAAUGGGCGCAAGCCUGAUCCAGCCAUACCGCGUGGGUGAAGAAGGCCUUCGGGUUGUAAAGCCCUUUUGUUGGGAAAGAAAAGCAGCAGGUUAAUACCCCGCUGUUCUGACGGUACCCAAAGAAUAAGCACCGGCUAACUUCGUG